CUCCUCUAAAAUAUUUAACUGCAUUUACAAAUGUUUAGUUAAAAGAUAUAACCAAAUAGUUAUAAUAAGAUGUUCUUUUGAUGUCUCCAUCUAUCAUUUUACCCAACUAGGAUCAUGUUCAGCUGUUUUAUUAAAAAUCUUUGGGCUUAAUCCUAGUGCUUGUCAUUUUACCCCACCCAUCCUCACCGCCCCCGCCCCCAUGGUAACAUCACUUUUUUCUGUUGCAGAACUUCAUUUUUAUUUGAACUGGCAAAAGCAUAAAUAAUAUCUUAUAAUAAAAUGUGGUGUGAUUUAAAAGCCUAAUCCAGUAGUAUAUGAAUGAAAUAUCUUAUAAGUUUUUUAAAAAUCUGCUGUGUAUUACUUACUGGAUAAUAACAAUUGGAUAAUGUUCUAACCUUGUGUUCCACGAAUCAUUUUUUGUAUUUUAGUAAUCAAUUUUAAUAAUUUUUUUAAAAUGUUACAUUAAAACUCUAAGUUGAGGGUGCUUUGGGAAGGAAUCUGGAAGGGGGAAUAGAGGGGAAAAGGAGAGGGAUUGAAAUUGACAAAAAUGUCCUUUUUAUGGCAUAUAGAGAUAUGAUAGGCAAUGAAAAUUAAAAAUCACACUACCUUUUGAAGCUCCUUUUCUAUGCAGGUUUUUACUGUCAUAUAUUUCUUUUUACAUAUCAUAUUAAAGCUUGUUACCUUCCUUUUCUUGCCCCAAGAUCAAACUGAACAAUGUAUAUAACACUAUCUGUCUGUAAGAUACUUUUUUUUUUAAAGAAAGCAUUUAUAUUUAUAUGACAGCUUGAACUGACAACAUUGUGUACAUAGAUCAUCUUGAAGUAUUAUUUCACAUUGAAAAGAAGACAAAUAUAUUGAUAACUAUAGAAGUUAUGAAAAAGAGCUUCUUUCUAGUUUUGUACUAAAUAUCAUUCAGAUGAGCUAAAUCCAAGAACAUUAACACUAUAGCAGCAGUCUUAAGUCUCAUUUUUACAAUUUAUAUAUUUGAAAGCUGCUAUUGUGGAUAAUUUUCACCCAUCACAUUUUCAGCUAAACUUGAUUUCCCAGAAUAGACUGUUAACUUUCAAAACUAUUCAUUGGUAAAAUGAGAGUGAUUGUUUUUUUUUUCCCUUGGGAAUGAGAUUUGUUAUUUGUCAGUGCUUAAGUUUCUGAUUCAGGUUUGAGCAAGGUGUGAACAACUGAAGAAAAGAACUUGCUGGCUGUAUAGGAAAAUGCUGUGGAAUUGUACUGUGUAUAUACUUUUGGGAAGAAACAAACUUAACAAUUUCCUCUGAGCACUAAUCAACAUAGUGCAACUCCUAUUCCUGUACUGUAUUUUAUAUGCAACAGAUAUGCUUUAAUAUUUUUAAUGAAUUUGUGCAUUAAUAUUUUCAAUUUGUUUAACCACUUUGCUGCUACAAUUUUGCCACCCCUUCCUUUUUCUUUCCUUUACAAUCUAAAACAAUUUGCUUCAUUAAAAAUUAUGAAUAUGGAUGUAACAGGUUAUUAUUUCAUCCUGGGUCUUUGUAAGUUAAUACACCCAGUUUCUCUGCCAAUAACAUGAUGAACAUAGGAAAAUCAAUCUAUGCCAUAAACUAAUGAUAUAAUAUAGUUGGAUCCUUAUAGAAGGACAGAUUAUGUUAAAUUAGCUGGACUGGUGACAUGGAAACAGAUACCUUUAUCAGUCCAUAAGUAUCCUCAUAUGUAGGGAAAUCAAACCUCUAAGUAAAUUAAGGACUGUUUAUUUAUACUGCCCAUUAAUGCUUCUGACAAUUGGACCUUCCUCUGAAAAGUUCCUUAGGUUUUUGUUUGUGAUGUUGAAAGUAGCCAGUACAACCUGCCAAGUGACAUGGAAAGAAACGAUCUCCUGAGGCCUACCUAUUAUUAUUGUGUAGUGAUGUCUCCUUAUCCUAGCCAUGCAGGGUAGAAAUGUUUGAUCUCUGAAGACUGCUCAGCCAUAGCACUUCAGCUCCACCUGCUGGAAUGACAUCCAUCCAGAAAAACCUUUGGGAAUAAAGGAUAUGAUAUACACCCCAGUAUUUACAGGUCAGGGACGAUUCAGAAAAGGCACUUUGGCCUCAGAACACCAGGAAUUAAAAAAUAUUUAGAAAAAGCUAAGUUUUUCCCCUUAUUGGUGAAGCCUAGAAAACUUUGUCAUUUCCCUUUUUUGAUUAUUAAUAGGGAAUAUAAACCAUAAAAGUUUCCCUUGAAAGGUAACAGAUUAUCUAGAACUGGCAACAUAGUAAAUAUCGAAUUCUUAUAUGGCCAGAUAUGAAACUCGUUCUGCUCUGAUAAUUUAUUUCUUGGCAGAAAGCUUAACCACAAAGAAUGUGUGCUGAAGGAAAAAUUUUUGAGAAUUUUGCCAGUGAUUGUGUUGUUGCAAAUUCAUUAGAGUAAGGGAUUUUGUGAGUGUGUAUGUAUGCGUGAGCGAGAAGGGAAAGUGAUGGUCCGAAGGUAGUAUGUAAAGGACAAAGGAUUGAAAUAUCUAGUUUUGUUGAUUAUGCAAACAGCUGUGCUCAUAACUAGCUCUUGAGGUAACACUAAAAUAAGUUGCACUUUCUGAUCAUGCUUAAAAUAUCUGUCAUUACUAGGGGCUUUUUUGAUUAAUUGAACAGCACAAUAAGGUGGUUUUUUUUUAAAUUGAGGUAAGAUCCAGAAUAUGACUAUUGGAUGAUUGAAACAGCAUCACAUGUCCUAAAAAACAUGCUUCACCUGUUAAUAUUUGUUGAAACUUUAUGACUGCAUCCUGUACUUUAUUCUAUAUAAUAUUGUUUAAAGUCCUAGCAAAUGGUCUGUUAAGCAAGCAUAUCAUUUUUCCUUCAUUUAAAAUAUAUAUAUAAAUAUAUACACGUGUGUGUAUAUAUAAUAUGUAUUUAAAUGUAAACAUUGGUCCCUUGAAAUAUCUGAAGACACUAGUGGCCCUCGCUUUUUUUUUGACUUAUACUUCAAUUGUUUUUCAAAAAAAGCCCUAGAAACUAGCACAAACAUACCUUUUUUUUUCUUUGUUCUAUCCCUCCUUAUGAUCCCCAUCUGUCUUGAGAUUGAACCUUAAAUUUUAAAGUGAUGCCAUUGUAAUGUGCUUUUCAAGCAAUUUCAUACAUGAAAUAAAACUAGACCACGGUGAUUGAUAGAAAGCAAAGAUGUUAAUAGGCCUUAAGCUACUGUUUGCUUUAGCAGCCACGUGGUUAUCAACUUCCGUAUGCUUUGGUGCACUGCUAAAUGUUAGCCUUUGUUCCUGAAAGCUUAAACUAAAAACUUUGUGAUUAAUUUUAAAAAUUCUAAAGCAUUGUUUAGUGUAAAACUCUUUGUAUUUGAAGCUGCACUAUAAAUGGUACAUAGAUUUUGUGAACACACUGCCUCUCCUUUUUGCAAAUAGUGCCAUUUGCUUUCUACCCUGACCUCAAAAAGUGCCUCACUUGUAUAUUAUUCCCAUUACCCUCAACUGCUUUCUUUAUAAUAAGCAAUGUAUGAUUUAGUUAAACUUGUCAUAGAUGUAUUUCCUUUUAUGUAUACAAAUAUAUAGCUUGGUACUUUUCAGUAUAUAAUGUACAUAUGCAUAUAUAAGUUUGUAACUUUUGUUACACCAUAUUUGUGUAAUUGGACAUAUCAGAUAAUAUCAUAAAAGUUUGUUUUUAAUGGUCCCCACCCUGUAAUUACUGAUUAAACCAAUCAUAAAAUUAAAAAGGGUUUUUUUUCCUCAAUGUCAUGAGCCUGUUUACACUGACAAAUGAAGUGUUAGUUAAUAAUCAAGAGUAAAAGAGCUUUUAAUCAUGCUUUUUUAAAAUUAAAAUUAUUUAAGAAUUAUAUUGUUUUAAAAACCCAAAGUUCAUUUAAACUUCACCUCAAAUAGCUAGUUCCUUAUUGAUUAUAUUACAACUUUUUAAAGCCAUAAUGAAUGCUAUAUUUCCAUUCACUGACAAGGGAAGAAAUUAUCAUUAAUUCUUUAAAAUCAAUUUGGGAUCAUUUAUAACAAACUUCAAAUCCUAGGUUAGCACGUUGACUCUCAACCAAUUCUUUCUACUGUCAGUUGGCAUUUAUUCAAGUAAUAUAACCUAGUUUUAUUAGUUGCUUAAAUGAAGUAUAAUGGGGAAGAGGUUUUUGUUUGUUGUCCUUCUGAACCUGUGAUUUCUUCAGUAAUUAAACUCCAAAUUUGGGGUCAUAAAAAACUCCCUGGUAUAUCAAAAGGUUAAGUGACUUAAAUAUUCCUGAAUUCAAAGCUAAUAGCCCUUUUUCCAUUCUACUUUUUAAUUAGGAAGAUAAAACUACAAUAAAAAAAUACCAUGUAAUACUUUCCAAGGAUAAACUUUUGGUUUAUGCAUGCCAUUGCUGGCCUUUGAAUCAAGAGAUAGUUCAGAACUGACUUUUAGGCUUGCCUUAUAUUAUUGAAUCUUGUUAUAUAAAGCAACUUUUUGAUAUUUUUAUUAUUUUUAUUACUAAGUUUUCAUAAACAUAAGAUUCCUUUAUCUAAGAUAAUAAUUAAUGUUUGCCAAAGAAGAUGAAAACAGAUCUGCUACAACUUGAUAAUGAAAAUGUGUUACAAAUAAAGAUAAUGCUUAAAUUAAAAGUAAUUCUUGCAAAACUUUUUCGACUAGCCUACCAAUCAAUUUUUUUGAACUUGCUUUAGAUUCUCUCUUAGGAAAUUCUGGGCCUGAUUCCCAAAAGUCAGAUAAUUUGAUUCUGAAACUCAUUUCUAUUUUUCAAAGAAAAAAAAAAGCCAACAGUAAGGUUUUCAAUUAAGCUUUUUCAGUAGAGGAAAAGUCAUAUUUAAGUGAAUUUAAUGGAAUAUGCAUUGUUGAAAUUAAAUAUUGUUAAAAAUGAAGAUUGCAGAAAAACAUUUGACUCUUGCUUGCUAUAAUGAAUCAACAGGUGAAAAGAAUGUAAUAAGUAAAUAUAAAUAGUAUUAUGUGCACCUUACCUUCAUCCCUUCUCUCUUCUAAGAAUGCUGGGGUGUGAUAUUUGUCAUGGAGUGUCACUUAACGAAUUUAAAAAAUUUUAGGUUUUCAUGCAGAGAUGGUUUAAGGUUAAAAAAAGUUCAUGGGGUAAUUGCUGCUUGAUCAAGGAUUAUAUGAUUUAGCAUUAGUAGGUAUCUUAGAGAUUGAUCAUUUAGUCUCAUUUCCUCAUUUAACAGAUAAAGAAAUUGAGGUCCAGAAAGAUGAAAUUACUGACUUAUCCAAGAAACUUAAAGGUAAACCCAGGACUAGAAUCAGGGCUUCCCUAGUUCUAGUCUAAUACUUUGUUACACAAUUGAUGGCAAAAUAAAAGAAGUAAAAAUUCCUCAUGUUACACAUUGCACGUGAUUUUGGAUUCUCAAUAUAUUAAUUGUGCUGAUUUUUUUUUCUUCUAAAAAAUACUAUUUGUCAUAUUGGAUGACUGGAAGGGGAGAGUAGAAGGAUACUAUGGAUUACUUAUGAUGAUGUAAUGUCAAUAAAAUAUCAAUAAAAUUUGCUAAAAUAGUG
rnacentral:lncRNA from 1 species